AGUGAACGCUGGCGGUAGGCCUAACACAUGCAAGUCGAACGGCAGCACAGUAAGAGCUUGCUCUUACGGGUGGCGAGUGGCGGACGGGUGAGGAAUACAUCGGAAUCUACUUUUUCGUGGGGGAUAACGUAGGGAAACUUACGCUAAUACCGCAUACGACCUACGGGUGAAAGCAGGGGAUCUUCGGACCUUGCGCGAUUGAAUGAGCCGAUGUCGGAUUAGCUAGUUGGCGGGGUAAAGGCCCACCAAGGCGACGAUCCGUAGCUGGUCUGAGAGGAUGAUCAGCCACACCGGAACUGAGACACGGUCCAGACUCCUACGGGAGGCAGCAGUGGGGAAUAUUGGACAAUGGGCGCAAGCCUGAUCCAGCCAUACCGCGUGGGUGAAGAAGGCAUUCGGGUUGUAAAGCCCUUUUGUUGGGAAAGAAAAGCAGCAGGUUAAUACCCCGCUGUUCUGGCGGUACCCAAAGAAUAAGCACCGGCUAACUUCGUG
rnacentral:rRNA from 1 species